rnacentral:lncRNA from 1 species
ACUAGAGACUAAAGCUGGACACCUGCCCGCAGGUACUGACUCAUUUCCGCUUACUCUCGGGGGCACCGGGUGGGGGAGGCCCCGGAGGAACCGCGCGCCUUGAUGCCCAAGCGCGGGGCGCAGGGGAGUGCGGGCGCCCGGGCACAUGGUCCGCCGGCCUGUGAGGGAUUCCACCGCUGCCCCACCCGCUGCGGUUGGCAGACCCCGGGCCGUGCCCGCCAAGACCCGUUGUCAUGAGGAGUGCGACACGUAGUCUAUCUGUGACCCUUGCUUGCUAAUAACAACAGCCUAAGCCCAGUUGCACAACUUUACAAAAGACAAAGUUUGAGCUGUUAUUGUUUAUUAAGAAUGUACAGGGUUUCUUUAUAUCUUUCUUUCUUUUUUUCUUUUUUAAAGAAUAACAGGAGUCUGUGUUUUUAAUAUCGGGAUGAUUUAUUGUAGCCCAACAGCAUUGGGUACUGAUAAAAGAACCAAAGGGGCGGAAAUCAUUUUCAUCAUUAAUCACUCAAUAUGAUUUCUCUUACCCCACUUUCUUUCUCGUCCAGCUUUUUUUCAAAGGUGCUUUAAAAAAAAAGAAAGAAAAUGCUAAACUUCUGAGCCAAACAAGCUAAACCCAGGAAAGAGCCAUCUUUCUUAGAAUAUAGGAAUUUAAGCAGCCUUUGGAUUCACUGGGGCCUUCUCCUUCUGCUCACAGUUCUGUUUGCUCUGAUGUUGUCCAGACUGGUCGAUUUCCAUUUCUGCUGCCCUUUCAAGGGACAGUGGAUCCAUAGGGAAAGACACUUGAUGAGCAGAUCAAAAUACUUAGGUGACAGAAGACAGGUCACAUUGAGGUUUGGGGUUCUUUUAGGGUCUUAAUUGCAAAUAUCCCUUUCAAGAGACAGUGGAUCCAUAGGGAAAGACACUUGAUGAGCAGAUCAAAAUAAUUAGGUGACAGAAGACAGGUCACAUUGAGGUUUGGGGUUCUUUUAGGGUCUUAAUUGCAAAUAUCAGUACUAGAACUCAAUCUUUUGCUGACAAAUCCUCAGAGGACUGAGGCUUCUUUUUGUGGCACAUCGAUGCCAUCUAAUAGUUAAGAAUUCGUAUUCUGUCUCCCACUGUAGGACACAAAUUCUCUGCCUCAUUACAGGGAAUAGGGACAAUUCUUUUAAUAUGUUACACUGCAGAGGAGGAAUAUACUUCACUAGUGACAGUCUCCCAACAGCAACAACUUGCACUAGAGUGAAAAAAAAUGGCUGACUGUCCCAAGAGGACUUAUCAGGACCUGCGUUAGAAAAGUGUCCCACUAUAAUGGAAAUGGCUUUGGGAGCUUCUGCUCAUAACAACAAAAACAAAGAGCUAAGGUGUUGCUAAGUGAUAGAGUACCUGGUGCCCUGAGUGCUAUUGGUAGCACAGAAAAACAAAAUACAAAACACAAGCAAAACCACCCUUGAAGGGAUUUCCUUUAAAGAUAUCUCUGAUCUUUAAUUCCUACAGCAAGGUGUCCCUGCCCAGCUGCCCUUAGCUCUGUGCUUCUGUGUUGGGAGGAACACCUUUAUUUACCCUCAUGGCAGGGUUGACACCCCAGAACCUUGCAGCAGCAGUCUUCCUGAGACUAUCCACUCCCCCAGGGUAGUGAAUUCAUUCAAGUAUAUUUGCUGGAAUGAUACCAAAUCAAAGUAUCAGUAAUUAAAUUGCAUAUAUAGACAUAUCCAUAUGGAGAUUUUUAAGAUCAGAAUUAUCAACUGUACAUGUUAACUCUGAGAGAAAUUUUCAUGCAGAAUUCUAAUUUUGCUUGAAUUGUGAACUACAAGGCUUUUGAAUUAAAAAUUAAUGAUUUAUUUAUGCCUAACAAGAGAAGAGGAAAUUUAUUUGCACCUAUGUAUCAGUGAACUUGGGUUCCAAGUUUGGAGACAGGCCACUCCAUUUCUCUGGGACUCAGAUUUCCUCAUCUGUGAAAUCUCAGGGUGGCAUGAAGAUCUUCCUCUGGAUAAGUCCCAGCACACAGCCUUUGCUGCUGUGACUCUUCCAAGCUCUCAGCUGCUGUCCUCAGGAUCAAAGCCCCCGGGUCAGUUAGCCACAGUAAACUCCAGGGAUUUCAGGGCACACCUCUUAACUGCGGGGCCCAAGUCUAGCAGGAGUGCUUUGGGUAGCUGUCACUGUCACACAGUAUUUUCAAGGCCAAUAAGACUUGGCCAGAGUUGAAGGAAAGACCCUAGGCUCUGAGCCCAGAGGCCUAGGUAGACAGGUACUUGGAAGGUACAGUACUUGGAAAUUGCAGUAUUGGCUCUGCAGUGCUCCUGGGAGGCAUGCUUUCCCCAGUUUACAGAGGACCUGUGUGCAAGCCUCUUUACCCAGGAAGCUCCCAAUGUUCUUCAGUCUGGUGUUGCCAGAGAGUAAGCCAUUCUGCCAGCCACUAUAAUAAUCAUCAAAGACAGCCAAGAGCAUAAUUCAUAAAUUAAAAUAAUCGCCUUAAAAACUUUGGGAACACUUUUAUUAAGUGCUUAAAUUGGAUAAUAGACUUAUGCUUAAAUCCUUAAUCAGAAAUAAUAAAAUUCUCUUACAGUGACUGUCUUACUGUUCUUUUAUGUUUUCUCAUUAUUGCUCUCUGGAUCAGGUCCCCUCUUCCCUCUCCCCACAAUAGUCCCGUUUUCUUUAUUGCACUUACCUCCCCCUAUCUGCCUCUCUUCUCCUGGCUUCCAGGGCUGGGUCUUAUUGAUAUCUUUACAUCCCAGGGGUCUCACUGUGCCUGGCAUGAGAUACUCCACAAACAGCUUUCUUCUGGGAGUUACUUCAGGCCCUUUCUCACCUUCUAUUCCCCAAAGCAUGGUAAGCCUCCAAUUUCCCCAUGUGAGACCUCUCCAUUGUGUGCUAAUGGUACAAGUGGUCCUCUUCCCUCAUUUAGGUUGUGGAAUGCAGGAAAUGGCAACUGCAAUUUGCUGGGUGUAAUACUGUGCCAGCAUAGUUCUAAGCACUUGGCACUGUCAUUAAAUUAGUAGUCACCUUAACAUUGGGACCCUGAGAACAGUGCCAUUUAAAAAACUGUCUAAACUCUUUGGAGUAUGUCUUGCUGACUCCUCUGAGCCAGUGACCAGGGGACCAGCCUGAAGGGCCUUUGCUGCUUACAGCCAGACAAGGGACCCUGUCACUUGCCAGGUGCUGCCUCUGAAGGUGUGAUAUUAUUGGGGCAGUUUGUAAAGGCUUCUGGUUAACAUGAAAGGAAGGUUCUGUGCAGAUACAAAGUAUCGUCACUUGAGAGUGAUGGAUGACCUAUACCACAUUCUGCCAACUCUUUGCAGAAGAAAUCCAGUUACUGACUGAGACACUGUCCUCUACUACAAAAUAUUUGCAGAGAAAUGGGGUGAAGAAUGCUUAUUUUAUGAGAAGUUUUGCAAAACUGGAUUAGCAAAGUUAAAAGUAGUGACAUUCCUUGCUGUUUCCCCCACAGCAGCAAUAGCCUUCCACAGCAGAAAGGAGGACAUGAUUACAAGCCAUACUGUUACUCAUCUCUGCCAGUCUCUGUGGGUUUUGGCAGUGAUGUGAAUAAAUACAUGUUGCUGGCCACAUUCCCCUGUCCCCAUUUUUCAGAGGAGCCAAAACCAUGUGUCAGUGAGGUCUCAUAAGUCUGAUAUGAUAGCAUUGAAUGUUACUAAUGUUAUAUAGUUUUCUUCAAAAAGUAGGUGGCACCCCCCAUAGAACUAAGUCAAGUGAAAAUAUGAAUAUGAACCAGUUGGUCAGUCAUGAGUUAAGGGAGAAUUUAUAAGGUUGUGGGUAACAUUUCUCCCUGAAUUAUCUUCCUGUAGGAGGGUUUUCAAGUUAUCCAGGCCAUUCUACUGCUAGAAAUGCGAAGCUCCGUUGUAUUUUAUUGUAUUAAGCAUAUAGUCACAGACUGCCCAACAGCAUCCUCAUGUUCUCAGCUAGAUGCAAGUCAGAGGUGUGCUUUUGGUUCCAGCAUGCCAAGGGGAAAAUAUCCUUCAGUUAUUGUGUGGUUGUUUUGUUGCUGAUGUUGUUUUUUUUUUUUUUUUUUUUUUUUUUUUUUUAAGAAGCUUCUGGUCAGGCUGGACCACAGCCUUUCUAGAUUUUUCUGUUGUUCUCUAGCCACCUUUGGUUAUUUUCCCCUUCUAACAUCUUCUAUCUGUGUCCUUUUCAUUUCAGCCAAUGCUCUGUGCGUUCUGACUUGGUUUUAUGAAUAGUUUCCCCUUCUCAACCUCAGCUAUGCACCUCUGUGUACCAGGCCUGCUGGAGGUAUUUCCAGGGUGCCAGUUCACAUAGUCCUCAGCUGUCUGUGGGAGGAGGAAUAAUGACACUCUCUUCACAGAGGGGGAUCUUGAGGCACAGAGAGGUUUGACAGCUUGCUAGGCACAUUCACACAUGUGCAGAUGCCUGUGCACACAUGUGCAUAUACAUGCACACAAACACACAGGCAGGGGCGGAAGUGAGCCUGAGGGUCUGGCCCCAGGAUCAUGCACUUCUCCUCUGCAUAGCACUUAUGCUGAGAGGUAUGUAGUUCUUCCUUAAAUUAGAAGCUCUUGUUUGAAUAACAACCACCAUUACAAAAAUUCGAGUUUUUUUCCUAAUGUCUCACAAAAAUAUCUAGAUUGACAAAUAAUUCUGCAAAGAUUUCUGAGAAAAUAAUUCUGCCAUUAUAGUUUUACCAAUGGAAAGUUCUUGAGACAUGGAUACAACAAUCAAAAUAAAUUUGUGCUGUCAUAUUUUGGGGCAGUAUUGCAAGUUAAAAUUAGUCUGUCUCAGGCUUGGAUUAUUAUUAUUGUCACUUCUUAUUGCUGCAUUAAUCACCAAACAUACUGAGAGAGAUUAAUGAAGUUAAUUGUUUUUAGAAACAGAAUUAAAUGCAAGUGCUAAUGCUGGGUGACUGACCCUGACACUGUGCCCUUAUUUCAAUGGAAGAAUGGACAGGCCUUUCCACAGUCCUUCCAGAGACUUGAUUGUUUCAAAUGUCACCUUGAUGCUCAGUAUCAAUUUUCUUUGUAGUUGGUUUCACAGCCCUUUUCACUUUUAGUUAGUUUAUGGAAUACAUCUGUGAGUUACAGUUCAAAGGUUUUAUGUCUGCCAAGUAGAAAUGAUUCAGAGAUUAUUUUUAAAUGGGCACCUAAAUGAGUUUGCUAGGGAUGCCAUAACAGAAUACCAAGACCUUUUUUUUUUCUCACAGUUCUGGAGGUUGCAAGUCCAGGAUCAAGGUGUGGGUAGGUGUGGUUUCUCCUGAGGCCUCUCUUUGGCUGGCAGUUGGCUCUUAUCUCUGCCUUUUUUCUGUGCACAUGCAUUCCCUGCAUCUCUUCCUUUUUGGGAGAGGGGUACUGGGGAUUAGGAGCACUUAAUCACUGAGCCACAUCCCCAGCCCUUUUUAUGUUUUUAUUUAGAGACAAAGUCUUGCUGAGUUCCUUAGGGCCUCAUUAAGUUACUGAGGCUGGCUCUGAACUCACAAUCCUCCUGCCUCAGCCUCCUAAGUCACCGGGAUUAUAGGCGUGCACCACUUUACCCUCUUCUUUUAAGGACAUCAGUGUUAUGGGAUCAGGAUCUGACCUAGUUUUAACUUAGUUACCUCUUUAAAGACACACUAUUUAAGGUGUUAAGACUUCAACGUAUGCAUUUUGGUGGAACAAAACAAAAUCUCUAAUCAAUUUCUGAAGGCCAUGGGAUCAAGGUGUGAGAAAAGGAAAAUGUAUUGUGAAAAAUAUUUCAUGGGGGCUGGGGCUAUAGCUCAGUGGAAGAGCACUUGCCUAGCUUGUGUGAGGCACUGGGUUCAAUCCUCAGCACCACAUAAAAAUAAGUAAAUAAAAUAAAAGGCAUGCUGUCUGUGUACAACUACGAAAAGAAUUUUAAAAAGAAAAAAAAAAUCAUGGGACGGUUCUAGGCUCUUCCUUUGGUCCAAAACAUAAUUCUCAAAUUCCACAUUUCAAGAGAGUGGAAAGUCAUUUACUGUACUGCAGAAUUUUAUUUUCAAACUCCAUUUCUAAUGGAGUACUAUACAGGCUGGGAAAUCUUAAAUUUAAAAGCUGUCCACUAAUAGUAGAUUUCUCUCUCUCUCUCUCUCUCUCUCUCUCUCUCUCUCUCUCAGAUAUUGAAAUCAGGGAACUUAACCCAUGAGCCACACUCCCAGCCCUUUUAUUGUAUUUUAUUUUGAGACAGGGUCUCACUGAGUUGCUUAGCAUCUCACUAAGUUGCUGAGGCUGGCUUUGAACUUGUGAUCCUCUUUCCUCAGCCUCCUAUACUCAACUAUCUUUUUUUUUUUUUAAUCUGAGUUUAAAGUGAGGAAAAUCCUUAGAAACCAAAAAUAAGGAACUGAAAUUCAGACAGCAUGAUAGUUGGCUCACAGACCCCAAACCCUGGGGGAGACAUGGCAGAGGGGACCCUCCCCAGCAACACAGUGGAAUGGCAAGGAAGGGCCCCGCAUCCUUGGAUGUCAGCAUGGGCUCUGAAUGGAGGCACACAUCUCCUUGAGAAAUGGUAAAUGAGGCCAGCUUCUAUGAGUGGGGUUCAGAUUACACUGUCUGGUCUGGCUGUUCCAUUCUAAGAAAUCCUUGGUAAGGACUUUCAGGCACCUUCCUCUUCAUCUGGAAGAAACACAAGCAGCAUUUCUUGAAAGAAUUGCUGUCUACACCACGGGCCCCAUAAGAUCUUCCUGACGGGCCUGGUGAAGUCAAGUGUGUGAUCCAUAGUCGCCUGCAUGAGAGCAAGAAGGAGCAGACAAAAACCAACAGGAGGACUGACUCCUAGGGCCCCAGGUGACAAAAUAUCUGCAUAUACAACACUAAGUGCACAUACAAGUGUGCCCAAAUGGUUAAGUUUAUUAUAAUGGGAAACAUGAGAAAAGAAGCAGAGCCUAUCAAGUAAAGACCUGAUGAGUUGGAGACCACAAGGCAUAAGCUCUCGCAGUCAAAUGCAAAAUGAUUAGAAAUGAAUUCCUAGGAUAAAAAAUGGAUCACUAAACAGGAUCCUAUUUCUUUCCAAAGUAGAAUGCCCCUGCUCCAUGAAAGAAGUGUUGGGGCAGAGGGAGAUUGUGGUUCCAAUCCCAGACCAGAAUGGGCACUGUUUAAACUGUUUAAACACAACCCUUUAUUUUACUUGAUGCCUGUUUUGCCCUCAUCUGAGGGACAGCUGCUAGGGUACCAUUGUCCCUGAGAAGCAAGCGUCAUCGUCUUCCUGAAGUCUGAGAAAUUUAAGACUAAUCAACUUGGAGCAUGUGAGGCUGAGGUGAUUUCACAGUCUCUUCCUGUUCAUCAGCAUCAUCAGCUUGCCCUGGACUUUUGUGAACCAGCAAGGUCCACCCAGAUUUGGGACUCCGGAGGAGCUGGAGUGACAAAUGGACCAUACUGUGGGAUGUGGCUGCUUCAUGGCCGAAGACCCAGUAGCUGCCCUGAGUAGGGCAAGGGUGGGACUCAAGAACCUGGAGUAAAUGCAAACAACAACAACAACAAAAUCCAGCCCUUCUUUCCAUCAAGCACUCCCCUCCUUGAGAGUUGGUAAAUGAGGCCUGUGGUGUAAACUGCUGUUCCCUCCUUUGAAUGUCUCCAUCUUGGAGUUUUCUCCCCUUUAUGCAGAUGAAGCAACCACUGUCCAUGUAAAAUAACAACUGUGCUUUAAAGGAAACAAGAAAAUAGUUUAUCCUAAGCCAAACAAGAGUGACUGUGGUCUGGGAAAUGGCAUUGCAUGACAUAAUCCACCAUGCAACUUUUACAGCCACAAAACAAGGGGAGUCCUAAUCAAUACAUUUAGCAAACAUUUGGUAGGUCAUCAGGUAGGCUGGCUAUAAGCAAAGGGAGAAAAUCUUUCCUGUAAUUUUAGCCAUUACCUUAAACAUGCUUAGCUUGGUGGAUGCUUAUAGGUCUGCAAAGUUUAGUGGUUUAUUCUGGGAGUUUUAUCUGAAGUUAUAAUGGCAGAUACAGGAGAUGAAAUUAAGUGGCUACUAAAGAGCCUAAGAAAUACCAAGAUGCUUGGGAUCCCGAUCUGAAAUCUUCCAUCUCUCCACAAUCGCAGUCCUCUUGCUCAGCCAGUCAAGCAGUCUGCAAGAUCUUUUAUAUGGGUGCAGCUUCUUCAGAGACCCUCAGCUCCACACCACCAUGUGAGGUCAGCUUUUUGGAUAUAUGGCUAGUAUUUCUAAACUCUAUUCUAUGGGACACUAUGGUGCUAAAAGAUGAUAACAGCAUUACUGCAAAACCAAAAAUAGAUCAAAACAAAAACUGAGUCAAAUGCAUCUGGGGCCAGGCAUACCAGUAAUCCUAGCAACCUGGUAGGGUGAGGCAGGUGGAUCACAAGUUUGAGGCCAGCCUGGACAAUUUAGUGAGAUCCUGUCUCAAAAUUUAAAAAAGGGUUGGGGAUGUUGCUCAAUGGUAAAGCUCCCCUGGGUUCAAUCCCCAGUGCAUCCGUGCACACACACAUACACACACACACAUACACACAGAAAAAAAGAAACAUCUGGGGAUACUGCAUGCUCCAUGUCCCUCAUAAAUCUUCAUGUUGCACAUUAGCACUCUAAAUUUUAUUGUAGUGAUGGUUGCAUAACUUUGAAUUCACUCAAACCACUGUAUUAUAUAAUUUACAUGAAUGAAUUGUACAUAAAUUAGAUCUUGAUGAAACUUUUGUUGGGGGAGAUUGAACCCAAUGUGAAGAAUGUGAAUCCAAGGGCACUUAACCACGGAGCCACAUCCCCAUCCAUUUUUUUAUGUUUUAUUUAGAGACAGGGUCUCACUAAGUUGCUUAGGGCCUUUCCAAGUUCCUGAGGCUGGCUUGAACUCACAAUUCUCCUGCCUCAGCUUCCCGAGCUGCUGGAUUACAUGCGUGUGCCACCAUACACAACUGCAAUGAGGCUGUUUUCCUAAAAACAGAAUGAACAUCUACCAAUAGGAGGGUUUCACAGCACAGCCUGGGAAGGGAUGCUCUGGACAUCUUUGCCACUCCUGACUAGGCUCUGUGACUAACAUAGUAGCUGUUCUGUAUCACCAGCUAUGUCAACUAUCAAAAGCAUCACUGGUAUUUGAGAAAAUGCUCACAGGGUAGGACAGGGUUUAGGGAGCCCCUGUAUCAAUAAGAUGUGCAGAACUAAGUAGCCACUGUUACACAUGCUUCACACUUUGGUUAUGUGACUGUUCUUACAAAAUACAUGAGAGGUAACCAAAAAGGGACCCCAGAGUCUUGUAAAGUUUCUAACAUCUGGAGUAAGGGAUAGCAUUGCACAGGUAACACAUUGAAUCUCCUCCAGUUAAUGAUUGUCACUGCCAGGGUCUUCAAACUGACUUGUGGCCACUGGGCAAACCUCUGAGGCAGUUCCCCAUCUGUACUAAUCAUACUUGCCUUUUGUUUUCAUUUCAGUGAAAGCUGGUGGAAUGUAGAUCAUGCAGAAACACCCACAUGCUAGAGACACCAAGGAAGAAAGAGACAAGGAUUACCAGGAAUGGGAAAGCCCCAAAUGGUAGACGUCUGGUGACUCUUAACAAACUUUGCAAAUAAUGAUUGUUCUGUUAAACAUUAGUGUUUGUCCUUCCUCUGUUCUGAUAACUCCUGGGCAGCUGGACCUGUGCUGUGUAUUCUUGC